rnacentral:rRNA from 1 species
AUUGAACGCUGGCGGCAGGCCUAACACAUGCAAGUCGAGCGGAUGAAGGGAGCUUGCUCCUGGAUUCAGCGGCGGACGGGUGAGUAAUGCCUAGGAAUCUGCCUGGUAGUGGGGGAUAACGUCCGGAAACGGGCGCUAAUACCGCAUACGUCCUGAGGGAGAAAGUGGGGGAUCUUCGGACCUCACGCUAUCAGAUGAGCCUAGGUCGGAUUAGCUAGUUGGUGGGGUAAAGGCCUACCAAGGCGACGAUCCGUAACUGGUCUGAGAGGAUGAUCAGUCACACUGGAACUGAGACACGGUCCAGACUCCUACGGGAGGCAGCAGUGGGGAAUAUUGGACAAUGGGCGAAAGCCUGAUCCAGCCAUGCCGCGUGUGUGAAGAAGGGCUUCGGAUUGUAAAGCACUUUAAGUUGGGAGGAAGGGCAGUAAGUUAAGACCUUGCUGUUUGGACGUUACCAACAGAAUAAGCACCGGCUAACUUCGU